rnacentral:rRNA from 1 species
UGCCAGUGAUAAACUGGAGGAAGGUGGGGAUGACGUCAAGUCAUCAUGGCCCUUACGACCAGGGCUACACACGUGCUACAAUGGCGCAUACAAAGAGAAGCGACCUCGCGAGAGCAAGCGGACCUCAUAAAGUGCGUCGUAGUCCGGAUUGGAGUCUGCAACUCGACUCCAUGAAGUCGGAAUCGCUAGUAAUCGUGGAUCAGAAUGCCACGGUGAAUACGUUCCCGGGCCUUGUACACACCGCCCGUCACACCAUGGGAGUGGGUUGCAAAAGAAGUAGGUAGCUUAACCUUCGGGAGGGCGCUUACCACUUUGUGAUUCAUGACUGGGGUGAAGUCGUAACAAGGUAACCGUAGGGGAACCUGCGGUUG